rnacentral:lncRNA from 1 species
UCCAAAGAGUACAUAUACAUCACGGGUAUACAAAAAUAGGAUAGAUACAAUGGUGGUUUCUCUAUACAAAGGGACAUCACCCUCGGUCGUAGCCCGAGUAGCAAGGUGAUCGACUAGUAUGCUCCUAGCAAUGUCUAGCUAGACGCGACUCCCUUGCCACGAUCCCUAGCCUCUCCUGUAGAUGGCUCUGUAAAAACAACCACCAAAAGGGUGUGAGAACUAUUAACAAUAGUUCCCAGUGGGUAAGCCGCCAGCCUCGGCGAAUUACACCACUAGGCUCAUGAUAUACUGAAAGUAAGUGAAAGCAAUAAAUGCAGGAUAUAGAAAUAUGCGAUGCUAACCGGGUACAGGCAUGUAUUCAACAUGUAAACAUGAUUUCUGCAGUAAUGAAUCAACUGAAUAAUAGAAGUAUCACAACUACUAUAAACAUGAACAUAAAUAUAAUCAUUGAAGUGUAAGUACUACUGUACACUACCACUGGUACUUAUUCAUUACUAUCAUUAUCAUGUUCACUUUCAUUUUCAUUCACUAGGACCUACUUAAGGUAGUCCAGCUUGCGCCGCGCCUAAUGGUCCCGUGGUAGUAUACACUCCCCACGGCAAUCCACUUCGGCACCCAAUCCCGCACGGGCGAGCAACUGUCGCGUAGGCCAACUCCGGAGUGCCGGCUUGUAGGGAGCUACCCUCACAAGCGUGUGCGAAUGAGCACGAUGGCAAGCAAGUAAAAUCCAUUAUCCACAUGUCACAAUUUUCAUACUUUCAUUGCAAAGUUCUUACCCUCGAUCCUCUGAUCGGAAUUUCAAUACACAAAUAAUAACAAGAGCUAGUAUCCACUAGAUUGUAACAUGUAAGAGUAAAGCUAAAUCACCUGGCAUAAUAAUCUCUCCACAAGUAUGGCUGUCACGCCCCGCCCCGAAUCCACUACCAAUUUGGCACGGUUCGGGCACAUCAGACGGACCGCCGAACGGACAGUACCUCUCCUGUCCGCACAAGGCCAAGCAACCAGAUCAUGUACAUUUAAGCGCCCAGGAAUUUGCUUAAAUAAUAUACAUGAUCAAAUACGAUGCACACAAGUGCAAUACAUCUAAGAGCAAGAACCACAAGUGAUAUACAAGUGUAUAAAGAGAGAUAGUCUAACUAUCACAAUUAUUCAACAUUUACAUUAUUUGAAUACAUUAUAAUUUCAUCUUCCAAAAUGUAAGUACAUGUUUUCUUCAAAAUACAACUAGCUCUCUGAUAUCUAUCCAAAAUAUCAACUAGUACACGAGGGUACUCUAAUGCAUAAGGAAAAGCUACUAACUAGGCUCACUUAGGGCGCUAUGCCCUUGCCGCGGUCCUCACUCAGCUCGCCUCUGUGUGUGCCUGUACCCCAAAACCACACGGGGUGAGAACUAUAUAAAUAUAGUUUCCAGUGGGUUCGGCCGCCGACGCCGCCGAUUUUCCCACUAGGUCUAAGCUGGCAUAGAUAGAGAGAUAGAUAGAUAUGUAAAGAGAUAAACUGCAACUACUCUAUCAUGCUAUCAAUGAUGAUAAUGCAUGCAACAACUAUUUUCAUGCAGAAUCAUGUCAUGAUAUAUAAAAGUACAUAGCAAUGCAAUCUUACAACAUACACUAUGUCUACUCGAAGUAAUAUGCAAGUCUACUAUGCAUCUCAUGUUUAUUACAAUCUACCUAGGCCAACUUGCCUAAGAUCUCAAAUCUUAAGGUCCUAGACAAGAGCUACCCGCUCCUUGCCCGAUAAUCUGAAGGUCUAAAAGACGUACCCGCUCCUCGCUCGACAUCAGUCGAAGGUCCUAGGCAAAGAGCUACCCGCUCUCGCCCGACUCAUCUCUCUCUACUAGGCGUACGAGCCGCCCUGCCAUAGUAAUGGAACUAUACACAUGCUACUAUGCCUCUGUAAAUAUGAAUGCAUGGACAUAGCAAUGAUUUCUAUAAUCAUGAAUACUAUGCUUCAACAAUAAUGAAAUGAGCUACUACAUAGUGAUGUAUCUACAACAUGCUACUAUGUCUCAAUAAUCCGAAUGAACGAGCUACUACAUAGUGCGUCGUGCAACUAUGCCUCGAUAAUAUCCAAUCUCAUGGCUAACCCGAAGGUUGCCACCCCAGGGACAACCACGACUCACUUUCAAUCUCAUAGGUGAGGAGAAACUGCACUCGCACACCGAGACCGUCUGCGGGACAACCCUGUGAGAUACUCCGGAGACUCAUGCCUCGGUGGAGCGACCACCGACAAGCGAAAACAGACUAGUGAGUAUAAUCCAAUCCUCUCAAGAGGAUACCCUAUUUACAAGGGUCAAUGUGCCUCAACUGCACUAAUGCCAAAUGCAUAAUGUCUACAACAUGACAAUAGGAAAAAUCUACUAUACUAAUUCAAUGUCGCUUGUUUUCAUCAUCACAAGUCCAAGUUCAUCAUCAUUCUUGUCACUAUAGGAUUCUUGUCACAUGACCCAAUCCUCAUGCAACCUAAGUUCAAGUGUCAAGCCCAUAAUGCUACACUACCAUAGGAAACAUGUAAGGAAAUGGAAUGUAAUCAUCUACUAAUCCUAUAAUGAACAAUAUCAAUAUAUGAAUAUGAUCAAAAAUAAAACUUAGACAUAAAAGGAAGCCCGGAUGUUUCGGUAUGACACCCCCCACCUUUUACCGCUAUCACGAGGCUAGGUUCUCAAUUGCACGUUCCCUAGUCGCCGCUUUACUCUUCGGUCGCACCUGCUCGACGAAUCGACGAACCGACGCUUCACACGCGUUUAGGCACCUCAAACACAAGCUUUUCCUCAAACCAAGUAAUGAAGAGGAUGAAGACUUCACCUCCAAGCAACCUUUUUCUUCUCCAAAUGCACCUCCAAUUCCUCCCUUUGGUGGAGAAAUUGUUGGAGAGAGAGAGGUAUUUCUCUUUGGUUGCAAGUGUGAGGGAGAAAGAAAGAAAAUGCUCAAGUCCCCUAUAUAUAUAUAGGAAACUUGGCCUCCAAGUUUCAUAGGAAACUUGGUCUCCAAGUGUCAUAGGAAACUUAGCCUCCAAGUUUCAUCCAAGUUAUCUAGGAAACUUGGCCUCCAAGUUAUCUAGGAAACUUGGCUUCCAAGUUAUCCAAGAAUACUAUUCACAUUUGGUUUAGCAGCACGGUACAGAUAUUUUUCGUCUGCCCUGUCUCUCACAGAAAAUUCUAAAUCUUCUGUUUUCGCUUUCAUUUCAACACGGGUCACUCUAGACUUAUAAUUUAUGUCUAUAAGUCCAAUAAAAAUAGUAUCCCACACUAUUUUUAUUUAUUUUCACUUUUACAUUUAAAAUCCGGUACCUUACAUCGGCACUAUCAACAUAGUUAUGAGCAUGUCAUAGUUCUCUAUGUUAGAGUCAAGAGAAUGUCAUUGUUCUCUACUUUAAAGUGCAUCCUACACUUGUUCAUAAGCCAUUCAACUGUAUUGAAUAUGAAUAGAAAUACUUUCAUGUAUAUAUGUUCUCUAUAUCAUAGAAACAUAAUAAACUGAUCUCCUGAUUGUUCUACUGAACUAAACAAGAAUACUUUAAUGCAUGAGUACUUUUAUGCAUGAACGCUCAUUUCACAUAUGAUAAACGUCAUGAUGACGAAUUCCGAGCCCUUUAACAAUCACAUAGGCAUAUAAUUAAACCGCGUCUAUAAUACAUAUAGAACAUAGGGGAGCUUCACUUGCUCUGGUUAGGUCAAACCCACCUAUUACUAGGCUUCAAUCAGUCCAAAGAAAAUCCCAAAGUCCGCUCCACAAGGUCUCAACUCUGCUGAAAAACAAGGCAUGAAAGUGGCAUCAAUACUACAAUCGAAAUGUCCGAUCUCAUCACAAUUUGCACUUAGUACACAGUAGUAGCUUGAAUCCCUGCUUUGGGCUAGUUAAUACCUCAAGAUGAGUCUCCAAGAGCUCUCACAAGUCCACUAAAGGUGCUCUAAAGCUCGGUCGCACUCUCGCUGCAAACCACGUC